CCAAAAACUUUGAUUUCUC
rnacentral:snRNA from 1 species